rnacentral:rRNA from 1 species
UACACAUGCAAGUCGAACGGAAACAUGUCUAGCUUGCUAGAUGAUGUCGAGUGGCGGACGGGUGAGUAAUGCUUGGGAACUUGCCUUUGCGAGGGGGAUAACAGUUGGAAACGACUGCUAAUACCGCAUAAUGUCUACGGACCAAACAGGGCUUCGGCUCUGGCGCAAAGAGAGGCCCAAGUGAGAUUAGCUAGUUGGUGAGGUAAAGGCUCACCAAGGCAACGAUCUCUAGCUGUUCUGAGAGGAAGAUCAGCCACACUGGGACUGAGACACGGCCCAGACUCCUACGGGAGGCAGCAGUGGGGAAUAUUGCACAAUGGGGGAAACCCUGAUGCAGCCAUGCCGCGUGUGUGAAGAAGGCCUUCGGGUUGUAAAGCACUUUCAGUUGUGAGGAAAAGUUAGUAGUUAAUACCUGCUAGCCGUGACGUUAACAACAGAAGAAGCACCGGCUAACUCCGUGCCAGCAGCCGCGGUAAUACGGAGGGUGCGAGCGUUAAUCGGAAUUACUGGGCGUAAAGCGCACGCAGGCGGUUUGUUAAGCUAGAUGUGAAAGCCCCGGGCUCAACCUGGGACGGUCAUUUAGAACUGGCAGACUAGAGUCUUGGAGAGGGGAGUGGAAUUCCAGGUGUAGCGGUGAAAUGCGUAGAUAUCUGGAGGAACAUCAGUGGCGAAGGCGACUCUCUGGCCAAAGACUGACGCUCAUGUGCGAAAGUGUGGGUAGCGAACAGGAUUAGAUACCCUGGUAGUCCACACCGUACACGCUGUCUACUAGCUGUUUGUGACUUUAAGUCGUGAGUAGCGAAGCUCACGCGAUAAGUAGACCGCCUGGGGAGUACGGCCGCAAGGUUAAAACUCAAAUGAAUUGACGGGGGCCCGCACAAGCGGUGGAGCAUGUGGUUUAAUUCGAUGCAACGCGU